GAUCUGGCUCAGGAUGAACGCUAGCGACAGGCCUAACACAUGCAAGUCGAGGGGCAUCAGGUAUCAGCUUGCUGAUACGCUGGCGACCGGCGCACGGGUGAGUAACGCGUAUGCAAUCUGCCUGUAACAGGGGGAUAACCCGGAGAAAUCCGGCCUAAUACCCCAUAAGGAUGUCUGUCCGCAUGGGCGGUCAUCUAAAGGUUUUCCGGUUACAGAUGGGCAUGCGUUCCAUUAG
rnacentral:rRNA from 1 species